AAAAAAAUGAUAACUAAAAUUUAGAGUAUAAUAGUGAAUUUAAAAGAUUUCUUUGAAAGACUUGGAACAAAUUCAAAGUUUAAAGAGAAUCAUUAUUAUGAAUUCUUGGUAAUCAUGUAUGUAGAAAACUUUUCUUGUGUUGUCAUUGAAGCAGAUAUUGAAAUUCAAGUAUAGAUGUCAAUUCCCAAGAUAUCAGCAGAAGACUCAAUGUAUCUUUCAAAAUUAAAAAAAAAAUCGUAUGCGUCGUCGUCGUUGUCUGCAUCGUCGUUGUCGUCUGCGUAGUCCGAAGACACAUUGGUUUCCGGAUAAUAACUUUAGUUUAAGUGAAUAGAUCUUUAUGAAAUUUUUUCAGAAGGUUCAAUACCACAAAAGGAAGGUUGGGAUCAAUUUUGGGGAUGAUGGUCCCAAUCGUUUAGGAAUUAAGGGCCCAAAAGGGGCCCAAAACAAGCAUUUUUUUCUAGUUUCAGGAUAAUAACAUGUGUACAAGUAUUUCAAUUGCUCUGAAAUUAUACCCCAAUGUUGAAAACCACUAGUAGAAGAUUUGAAUUCAUUUUAGGGGUUAUGGGCCAAAGUUUAGGAAUUAAGGGCCAAAAAGUGGCCAAAACAAGCAUUUUUCAAGUUUCCAGACAAUAACUUGUGUGUAAUUGUAUGGAUCUCUCUGAAAUUGUACCACAAUGAACCAUAUAACAAAGGGAAGGCUGGGAGUAAGUUUUGAAUUAAUUGCCCAAAAUAUGUAGGAAUUAGGAGCCAUAAAAGGACCAAAAAGAAGCAUGUUUCUAGUUCCCAAACAAUCAUGACAAUAACUUGUGUUUAAGUGUAUGGAUCUCUCUGAAAUUGUGUACUACAAGGUUCAAUACUACAAAGGAAAGCAUGGGAUUGAGUUUGAGGGUCAUUGCUCCAAGAGGGGUUUCAUUAAGUUGGGGGGGGGUGGGGGGGUUACCAUUUUUUUAAGGGAUUCCUUUUUUCAAAAAUUUUUCAAAUUUCGAAUUUUGAAAAGAUUUAAGAAGAAAUCUUCAAUUGCACAGUAUUGUGCAAUAGCUUUGUUAGAUCUUUGACCACAUAAUUUUUCUGACAAAAACCUAUAUUAUGUCAAAAAUUUGAUCACAAUCCAAAUUCAGACAGUAUCAAGCUUGAAUAUUGUGACCAAAUUUGCCCCAACUGUGCAGGGUUCUACCACUGGAGUUGUAUAAAGCUGCGCCCUGCGGAGCACCUGGUUAAACUUAUUAUUUUACUAAUUAAAAUGCUUUUAACAUUUAGAAAUGAAGAACACAAAGUUAAAUUGAAUAAUAUUAAAAACAAUAUGAAAAAUGUUUACAACAAAUGUUCUCUCCAAAUUUCAAUGCUACCCAAAGUUCAGGUUCAGUCAUUUACGUUUCUAUGUAUGGACUUUUCAUCGCUAGUUUUCAGUAAGAUAUCAUAACAUUCAGUUUAACAGCAGACGAUAUCAGAAUAAUGAUUUUCUCACUUGAGCCGGCAAGGUUGUUAUGACCAAUGUUAAUCUGUUUAUUGCUAAUUUUACCUAUGAUAAUGUGCCAACUUCAUUGGCAAUGCCACAUGCCCCCUUAGUUUCUAUUAAUAAUUUUCAUAUCACUCGACUUCGCUGAGAAAGGAAAUUAUCAGUCAGCAAGAUCAAAGAAAAAUUUCGUAAAAUAGCGAUAACUAUAAUUACACAUAUACAAAACAUGACAUGGUAUUUUUAGUGGUCAUUACAAAUUCAUAUUUUUAUUUUUGUUUUCUUUAUGUGUAUAUGUUAAGCUUGAUAUCUAUGAUUUUUUUAAAGCAUAAUUUUAGAAUUGUACUAAAGAAACAAUGAUACAUUGAGAAUACAUGUAGAAUAUGUAGAUUGAAUAAAAGUAUAUGUAGUUGUGUUUAUGAUGUUGAGGGCAUCAGUACACUUAUAGGUGACUUAUAAAUGGCAUAUUUUGUAAAUAUUAGUUAAGGACAUAAUUUGUUUCACUGUUUUUUUUUAAUAUGGCUCAAAGGAGUUCUAGGGUAUAUGACAAUGAGACCCAACAGUUAUAAUUAAUGGAAACAACAAAAGUAAAUUGAAAGAGUUUCAAUAGACCAAUGUUACCAUGAUAUAAAUCUGCUAUUUUUUAUGAGAUUCAACAAGUUAAACUUAACGUAAACCAACACAGUUAUGACUAUUAGAACAAUUGUAUAUGCCUCUUGAAAGAUGUGAAUACUAAUAAAAGGAGGAUAUGUCUAUAUAGAAUUCAAAAAUUCUAAAGGAUUUCCUUUUCCAUUUGCUUUCAACAUAUUAGUAUUUCAAGUUUUUCUUUUGAUAGUUGAGUUGUCUCUUUAUUUUUUUUAAAUGCAGUUGACCCUAGAUGAUCAAUGGGUUAUGAAUGGCCAGGUUACUCAAAGUACAAGUUUUCUAAUGAUAUUGCGCAAGUUGGUAAAAAAAAUAGUGAAAUAAUUUAUUGUUACUAUAAAACAACAUUUUCUUAUGAUGUACUGUUCAGUUUUCAUAUUAUUUCAUACAAGCUGAACAGAAAUAGUUUAGGGCUAUGAAUCUUUUAAAAGGCAAUGCAGAUUUCAUUGUAUUAUUAUAUUAUCAAAUUUGAUUAAAGCCAUGUUCCAUAAUUGAAUGUAUGAGCGAGGGUUAUGGAAUAAAUGUUAACUGUUAAUUUUUUUUUUAUAGCAGCUUUAAGAACCUUAUAGAAAUUGAAAAAAAAAAUAUUGUGGGUUGCUAGGAUUAUGGGAAAGUGUCUCUCUCUAUACCCCUGUCACUAACACACAUUUAAUUCUAAAUCAGCUCUCAAAGGAGAUCUAAUCUAUUCAUAGUGACAUCAGACAUUGAGUUUUCAGCUUAAAGUGCUAAGAUAUUUUUAUGUAGAAUUUUAAUUGCAAAAUAAAAUCCAAAUAGGAUGUAGUGUGCAUAAACAGUCUGCAUAAUGCAUUAGAUGCAUUAGACUACAGAUAUAGCUGGUAAUUUUGCAGUAGUACUGUAAAUUCUGAAAUUAUUGCGUGCUUUUAAUAUUGCGAUUUUGAGAAAAAUCCUGUUAAAUUCAUAUAAAAUAUUUCAAAAUGCGAGUUUAAAUUAUUGCGUUUACAACUCUGUCGCAAUUUUCGCAAUGAUAAAAACCUCACAUUAAUUUCUGAAUUUACAGUAUCUAGUAUAGGACAUUGUAAUCAGAUUAUGUUCACAUGUUAAACUUUCAUACAUUUUGAGCACUUUUAGAGCUUUGACUUUACUCAUAUAUCAUGUGAAAUUGUUAUUGUUAUACUUUUGUCUUCUUUGCUGUAUCAAUAGAAAUAUCAUGUUAGAGUUAAAGUGAUAUUGUUUAAUAUUUUAUGCAUGUUAUAGAGUCCAUGUAUGUUUAGUCUUGUUAUCUUUCAGAUUUUUAUUCUACGGCUUGAUCAGAUAUCUCAAAUGUUUUUAUCAAUGCACUCAAAAGUCAAAUUUGUAUCUCAUUGGUAAUUAGAUAAACAGGACUUUAUUUAGAAGUCUGAAGUAAAAUAUUCUGUCUGAUAUGAAAUAAAGUAUAAA
rnacentral:lncRNA from 1 species